GGCAGUUGCUGCCAAGGCCCUCAAACAGGGGAGCCAUCCUUCAGAAACCCUGUCUAGUUGUUCAGAGACGUAGGCCACCGGCCUCAGCCAGGGCCCCACAGUUUGGGUUAAAAGUCCAGCUGCCAUCUUUUCUGUCUAUAACGCAUACAAUGGAAAAGGCUUUGUCAGAUCGGGUAUCCCCAGGGCUGGGGCUGCCAGACAUUUUUCCUUUAACUCAUGAAAGACUUGCUGUUAUUGGGUUCCCCAUUCCAAAGGUUCCGGUCCACGCCCCCUUUGUGACCUCAUACAAAGGCUUGGCUAAUACUGCAAAGUUUGGGAUGAACAGUCUACAAAACCCCACAGCCCCUGAGAAUUCCCUCACCUGCCUUCUGCCCUUAGGCUCCGGUAGAUUGCAAAUGACCUGCUUUCUUUCUGUUCCCGGGCGGCAUCGGACCCGUCGGAGAGUAAAUCCCAAGUAAGGUACCUGCCGUUGGCAGAUUUGAGCUUUCUUCUUGGACACCUAAUACCCACAGUCCUCCAGUAAAUCCCAAGCAAGGUACCUGCCGUCAGCAGAUUUGAGCUUUCUUCUUGGACACCUAAUACCCACAGUCCUCCA
rnacentral:lncRNA from 1 species